rnacentral:lncRNA from 1 species
GAGGAGGCAUACCACAUAGACCUAGCACUUCCAAAUAAGGCUUGUUUACAGCUAAGCUUGGUCUCCUUGGCAUCCAGCCAGGCACCAUCUGGGGGCUGUGGCUCCCCACAAAGAUUGAUUUGGUAAACAUUAUUGAAUGAAUAAACAUAGAUAUAAUAUCUCAAUAUGAGGAUUGUAAGAAGCUAUUUUCAGAACUUUCAUCUAUUCCCAUAGUAUUCUGAGUAUUAAUUUUAUAUAUACAACAAGUUAAGGACUGCAACCUUUUUAUAUUUUAGGCUGAGAAUCUAAGUGGAACAUUGGCGAGAAUCCAUUGCAAAAAACUACAUAUAUUUAAGUUAAUUACAGGUCCUGAGGCAGAAGAGGCUCAAGAAGAAUAUUAAAGAAAUAAAUCAAUGCCCUUGGAAAAUCAAAGUUCAGAUAAGACUCAAAGGACAGACACUUUCAUGAAAACAAAAAUUUCAAAUCUGUGUUCAAUGAAACCUCAACAUAUUUGCCCCUUUACUUUCUCCCAUCCCCCUAUCAAUAGACCUCACUCUAGAACUCAUGCCUUUCCACUAAGUCCACUUAGUGGGGUCGGUAUGUGUAUGAGUAUAGCUUUAUCCACGGGAGCAUGGGAAAGCUACCAGGAGGCAAGUUCUCAAAGAAGAGUUACCCUACCAUCUCCACAAAAGUCAACUGCUAACAUCUUGUCAGUAAAGAAUGCUACCCAGAGAUGAUCCAGUCCAUCUAUGCCGGCUUGAUAGUGUGCAGGUAACUGCAGCUUCAAUGAGCUCAUGGGUUAAAUAGUGAUGGCAUAUUUUAGAAGGCACCGCUUCAGAGAAAACCUCUCCAUCUUCCUGCUCUUAUAUUUUUUUUCUAUAUCCUGUUCUAUCAUACUACCUGGGCCCUUCAGGGAAGGAACUAAUAUACUGAUUCUACACUUUGAGUAGUUAUGCAUCUUUCUGUUGACUGAUACACAGGGCACAAAGAAGUUUCUCUGACCAAGUUUGAAAGGAAUGUAUGUUUAUGGCUAUAAAUAUAAAUAAAUAUCUAGAAGCCUCUAUAAUGGUGUGGCCAUUUAACGAAACAAUAGCAGGUUCCAUCCUUGACCUAAAAACCUUCUACACUUGGCCCAGCCAAAAGAUUUUAUCUGUAUUAAAUAACAUGCAUCAGAUUCCUUUCUACUGGGUCAGGCCUAAGAUCCAAUCAGAAACUAGAUGGCAGUUGACUGACAGUUCUGUAUGACAAUGUGCAUUGUCCUGCUCUGGAUCCAGACAUUCAUGUCUUUCUCUUUCA